GUGAGGGUGAUCUGGUUUCGACAUCUGCCACCUCAUUGAUCGCCAGGGUUGAUUUGGCUGAUCUGGCUGGUGAGGUGGGUGUCCCCUUUCCUCUCUCACCUCCCCCUGUGCAUCCCUUCCAAAGCUGCAUGCCCAGUUGAAGAGGACACCCAUCCCCAGUAGAGGAGGACUGGUCCUUGGUCAAGGGCAUGCAAGCAGUUGUGCUCCCCUGCUGGAACCUCCAACAAGCUCU
rnacentral:lncRNA from 1 species